CCCAGGUGGGGGGGGCAGGCCAGCCCAGCGCAUGGGCUUGGAACCGCGUGCUCCAAUUCAGCCUCCAAGUUGGCAGUUGCUGGUCUUCUCAGAUGCGAAGCCCAGAUUUGCGUUUGGGGCUGUGAGUGAGUCACUCAAAAGGGUGAAUCAUGCCUAGAAAGGUCAGCAGGAUUGAAUCCAGAAGAAAAGAGGAAGAAAAUCGCAAUCCACAGAUUGCACGCAUCUUCAGUUACAAGUGCUAUAUCACCUUCCUUACUGGCUGUUACAGUUGCCACUGGAAAUUCAGACGAUGGGAAAAAACUAAACUUGGAUCCUGUUGCUGCACUCGGAGAGAACAAUGCUUUUGUGUGUUCCUGGUGGUUGCAUUUAUCUUCUCUGUGAUCAUGCUCUUCACAUGGAUAGAAACCUCCAAUGAAUACUUUGGCUUUGACUGGGUCGUUUUUCUACUGACAGGAUCCUGGUUCUUCUGGUCCAUUCUGAUGCUGAGUUUAUUUGGGAUACUGACUGUCUACACUUCAUUGUUAUUGGUGAGUAAUGUUUCCGAUUUCUCUUUUCCUGAAUAGACCUGUGAGGUACCCUGACUGCGG
rnacentral:lncRNA from 1 species